AUGAAAAAAGGAUUGAUUUUGACUAGGAGAAGGAACUUAUACAUUAUGGAUUGGCCUUCAGUCUUAGGGGGGAAAAGGUGCUAUAUAGAACCUAAAAAGGAUCUUCGGCUGUCCCCAUACGAUAACCUACACGGAUCCCAAAACGUUUUUUUCCUAGAACCCAAAAGGGUUCUACCUGGAACCAACAAGGGUUCUUUAUGGAACCCAAAAUGGUUCUACCUGGAACCCAAAAGGCUUUUACCUGGAACCAAAAAGAGUGAAGAACCCAGUGGUAAUCGUUACUUGGGGAAGACGAGGACGAAGAGGAUGAGAUUGAAAUGGAGGAGCCGGAGGAAGUUGAGAAGCCACCACAUGAUGCUGAUGCCUCUCAGCCAAGCUUUUGGAAGGACACUGUGGUGCACUGUCAGCUCUCAGACCUUUGUGAGGAGGACGACACUAUAGACAUGUCACCUGAGCUCCAGAGUGACAAGGAUAGGCAGGGGCUGGAGAGAUUGAACAACAUGCUACUGAGGCUGUAAACAGGGCCGAGGGACAAUCACACCCUUACAGGACACAUGCAUAGAUGCCAUACAUAGCUAGGUAUACAUGCCAUACAUAGCUAGGUACUAGUAAAGUGUAUGCUAGUCUUCACCCAGCUCAGAUUGUCACUGGUCAUUUCCCCGAUCUUGAAUGAUUUUUAAUUCUGACUCUUCGAGUAUUAGGCUAUAGGCCUAGAGGAACUUAUGUAAGAAGAAACUGUUAAAGACCAUCAUUGUUAUUUUAGUGUAUUCCUUAUUCUCAUAAUAUUUUGUAAUUCCAGUUCAAUUUUGAUGACAAUAUCCCUGAGAUGAAUGUUGUAUAAAAUGCACCUUGUUUUCAGGUUUGAAUAAGACAAUGUACCCCUUUAUCCUUAUUCUUUCAAUAAAGUUAGUUUUAUUAAUAUCAUAUUAUUUGUGUAUGUCUUUAUCAAAUUUAUCAGAUUAUAUGCCAUUUGUAAUAUGUUUUAAUGCAUAUACAGUGGAUGCGGAAAGUAUUCAGACCCAUUGACUUUUUGGGUCUGUUACGUUACAACCUAAUUUUACAAUUUAUUAAAAUGUUGUUUUUUCUCUCUCAUCAAUCUACACACAAUACUCCAUAAUGACAAAGCAAAAACAGGUUUUCAGAAUUUUUGCAAAUGCAUAAAAAAACGGAAAUAUCACAUUUACAUAAGUAUUCAGACCCUUUACUAAGUACUUUUGUUGAAGCACCUUUGGCAGUGAUAACAUCCUUGAAUCUUCUUGGGAAUGACGCCACAAGCUUGGGACACCUCUAUUUGUGGAGUUUCUCCCAUUCUUCUCUGCAGAUCCUCUCAAGCUCUGUCAGAUUGGAUGGGGGGGGGGGGGGGG
rnacentral:lncRNA from 13 species